rnacentral:lncRNA from 1 species
UCUGGCACCCUGCCCAGAGGCGUGAGCCCCUGCCUCACACUGGCUCCUCCCACGCUGAGAGAGGUCAGUGUGAGCCCCUUGCCUCACACCGGCCCCUCCCACGCUGAGAGAGGUCAGAGUGAGCCCCUUGUCUCACACCGGCCCCUCCCACGUGGACAGAGGUCAGCGUGAGCCCCUUGCCUCACACCGGCCCCUCCCACGCUGAGAGAGGUCAGUGUGAGCCCUUGCCUCACACCGGCCCCUCCCACGCGGACAGAGGUCAGCGUGAGCCCCUUGCCUCACACCGGCCCCUCCCACGCUGAGAGAGGUCAGUGUGAGCCCUUGCCUCACCCCGGCCCCUCCCACGUGGACAGAGGUCAGUGUGAGCCCUUGCCUCACCCCGGCCCCUCCCACGUGGACAGAGGUCAGCGUGAGCCCCUUGUCUCACACCGGCCCCUCCCACGCUGAGAGAGGUCAGCCCGAGCCCCUUGCCUCACACCGGCCCCUCCCACGCUGAGAGAGGUGUGAGCCCCUUGUCUCACACCGGCCCCUCCCACGCGGACAGAGGUCAGCGUGAGCCCCUUGCCUCACACCGGCCCCUCCCACGCUGAGAGAGGUCAGUGUGAGCCCUUGCCUCACACCGGCCCCUCCCACGCGGACAGAGGUCAGCGUGAGCCCCUUGCCUCACACCGGCCCCUCCCACGCUGAGAGAGGUCAGUGUGAGCCCUUGCCUCACACCGGCCCCUCCCACGCGGACAGAGGUCAGCGUGAGCCCCUUGCCUCACCCCGGCCCCUCCCACGCUGAGAGAGGUCAGUGUGAGCCCUUGCCUCACACCGGCCCCUCCCACGCGGACAGAGGUCAGCGUGAGCCCCUUGCCUCACCCCGGCCCCUCCCACGCUGAGAGAGGUCAGUGUGAGCCCUUGCCUCACACCGGCCCCUCCCACGCGGACAGAGGUCAGCGUGAGCCCCUUGCCUCACACCGGCCCCUCCCACGCUGAGAGAGGUCAGUGUGAGCCCUUGCCUCACACCGGCCCCUCCCACGCGGACAGAGGUCAGCGUGAGCCCCUUGCCUCACCCCGGCCCCUCCCACGCUGAGAGAGGUCAGUGUGAGCCCUUGCCUCACACCGGCCCCUCCCACGCGGACAGAGGUCAGCGUGAGCCCCUUGCCUCACCCCGGCCCCUCCCACGCUGAGAGAGGUCAGUGUGAGCCCUUGCCUCACACCGGCCCCUCCCACGCGGACAGAGGUCAGCGUGAGCCCCUUGCCUCACACCGGCCCCUCCCACGCUGAGAGAGGUCAGUGUGAGCCCUUGCCUCACACCGGCCCCUCCCACGCGGACAGAGGUCAGCGUGACCCCCUGCCUCAACAGGCCACCGUGAGGGAGGAACAGGAUCGCACUCGGGCUGCUGGGAGGUAGGCAGGGACUUGGGCCUGGGAGGUCGCGGUGGGGCGAGAGCUGGGCCUGGAGACUCCCCUGGGAGGCAACAGCGGGGUCUGCAGACGCCCUUCUCCAGCCGGAGCUGGGACUGUUCAGUCACUGGGAGAAGGGAUGUGGGUCUGAAGAGCUUGGUUGCAGAAACUUCGGGGUCUACAAACGCAGGCGGGAGCUGAGCCAAAAGAGCUUGUUUGCUGGGAGGUGGGAGAUGCAGCCAGGAGGAACAGCUGGGCAAUGCGGGAGGCAGAGGCCAGGCCUCCUCAAGUUGGCCUCUCAGACCCACUUGCAGCCUCCCGGCGCCCCCUCCGGGCCCAGCUCUUCCUCCCGGCUGCAUCUCCAGGCCGGACUCUGGCCCGACUCCAGGUCCCAACAACGUCUUUGGACUCAGCUCCUGCCCAGCUCCCAGCGGCCCUGGUAGGCCCACAACUUCCCUAAGCCAAGCUCCCCAGGCCCAGCUCAGGCCUCGCGGUGGCCUCUCCAGGCUCAGCUCCUGGCCCUCCGAUGACAUCUGCAGGCCCCAAAUGGCCUCCGGUCGGUGGGCUCCUCUAGGCCCAGCUUGGGCCUCCCGGCGGCCUCCGCAGGCCCAAAUCGUCCCGAAGUCAGUCUCUCCAGGCUUAGCUCCAGCCUCCCGGCGGCCUCUGCAGGCCCAAGUCGUCCUCAAGUCGGCCUGGAAGUGGGCCUGGAAGAGCAGCAAGUCGGCCUCCCUGGGCCCAGCUCCGUCCUCUCGACGGCCUCUCCAGGUGCAAAACUUCCUCGAGUCAGCCUCUCCAGGCCCAGCUCCUCCUGCCUCCCAGUGGCCUCUUUCAGCCCAGCCCAGCUCAUGGCUCUCGGCGGCCUUCGCAGGCCCUGCUUUUGACUUUUGGCAGCCUCUUCAGGCGCAGAACUUGAUCUCCAGUCGGCCUUUGCAGGCCCGGCCUCCUGCCUCUCGAAGGCCUGCACGGGCCCGGCCUCGGCCUCGGCCUCACAGCGGACUCUCCACGCCCAGCUAGCUCUCGCCUCACUGCGGCCUCCCCAGUCCAAAGCUCCUGCCUUUCGGCCACUUCGGCAGGUCCAGCUCCUGCCUGCCAGUGGCCUCUUUAGGCCCAGCUCAUUCCUCACGUCGGCCAUUCCAGGCCCCGUUUUUCCCUUCCGGCAGCCUCUUGGCCUCUAAUUUGUUUAUCUUUUGUGUAUAAAUCCCAAAAUAUUGAAUUUUGGAAUAUUUCCACCAUUAUGUAAAUGUUUUGGUAGGUAAUUUAUUUGGAGUGA